GACCAAACUUGAUGGUGUUUAUGACGUCGAAUAUCGACGUCAUCAAUACCAAACAUGAUGGUGUUUAUGACGUCGAUAUUCGACGUCAUAAACACCAUCAAUU
rnacentral:miRNA from 1 species